GUCACUACGCGCGAGGGCCCGCGAGCUGGUGUCUCUGUUCUGCGCAUGCUCCGGCCGGGCGGGCUGCUGCACGUCCCCGCCCUGCGUGUGGGCACCGCGCAUGCGCUGUGAGCCGAGCGGGCGGCGGAGACGGGCCCGGCAGGCGGGCUGCGCGCUCAGCGGGAUGGUCCCAGGGCGUCUGCUUUGCUCGGCCGGGAUGAGCGUGAAGUCGAGGACUCGUUGUAUCUUCUGCCCGCUCGUGCCGGAGCCCGACAAAGCGUUCUUACGAAACUUCUAGCGCAUAACGCGAGCAGGCGGGCGGUGAGGGAGCGCGCCCCGCGCUGCGCUGCCGGGCAUCGGGACUGACGGGCACGCGGCGGGCGGGCUCCUCGCGCCCUGAGGCGCUCCCGGCGGCUCCGUGCCUCAGCGAGGCGGGGGUGGCGGCAGUCGGACGCUGAACCGUUAGCGCUUAAGGACGCGUCUAUGGAAUGAAGUUUCCAAGAAGUCCUGCGAGCGCAAAGGCAAAACCAGGGUUGUGGUUUUACCGCGGGUACUAAAGGACGGUGAGAGAAACAAGGCAAAGCGAAAUGUGCGCGGUGCAGCGAUUACACGGGUCGCGGGCCCUGACGCGGUAAGCCUUGUCCAUUCCGCGCUGCCUUCGUUUGCUCUGAGCGGUGUAGGAAGGCGCUCGUCCUCGGCCCGAGCAGCAGAGCCUUGCUCAGCCCUCAGCUGGCAGCCGCGUGCUGACACGAGUCCCAGCCGUUCAUCCCUUCGGUGUGUACGCGUUGCACAAAUCACGCACAUGUCGCUCACCGCUGCCGGACAGCUCGCUGCAAACCCCGCGGCCGGGCUGAGUAAUGCGGCAGUGCUUCAGGGGUGCGGAUGGCAGAAGUGCGCCCGAAAAUGGCAUGAGGUGAACUUAAAGACAGAAAAGCCUAUGAGAAUACCCAGCCUAUCAAAUACUUAAGGAGCAAAACAAAUGCGUCAGAAGAGAUUGCUGAACGAACUGUUCCGUUUUUUUAACGAAUUGUCCCGUAUGAAGCAGCUCAGCAGCAUGUGGCUUGGCGCUGCUAGAGCUGGAGCUGGGAGUCCCGCUGUCAGCGCUGCAUUCCGGGUGUGCAGAACACCUCGAGAGCGUGGCAACGUACCUUAAAUGGCUGACAAAAAAUACAUUUUUUUGUGGAAAUAAUACAUUUAGCUUUUAUAUAAAUUAGGUUGGAAGUGGGUAUUGCAAUUAUCUUCCUUCAUUUGCUUAAAUUAUUUAUACGAUUUAGUAAUUAACUACUCAGAGGAGCAGACUAGUAGUUAUGCUUCAGCCAUCUUGUGCUAACUUAUUGUCGUGAGUUAACAGGUGGUAAUUACUCCUGUUACAUAAACUGAUUACCUUUCAUUUAUAGUAUUUAUGGCAGCCUACAUAAACUUCUUAUUUUUGACAGUUUCAAUUGCUGAUGGAAUUAUACUGAGAUGAAAAACAGAACUUGAGUAUUGUUGCUUGUGAGAGAGGUUAAAAGACCCUUGUAAGGGAAUUUAGAAACAAUGCGUUUCUGUAUCAGUAAGAAAAGACUUCAGUACCUGGCUAGAACAUCAGUAAGGCCAGCUAGAAAAUCUGGUUGUUGCUGCCUUGGAGAGCUACCCUUGUGUCUUCUCGAAGCCCGGUUUAAGAGAUGUUUCAUUAUUCUUCGUACUGAUGAUUUUGAACAAACAAUCUAGGUAAAUAAUAUUUGACAGAAACGGAAAAACUUCACAUACAAGAUGUAAGUAGAAGAUACAGAGCUUUUCUGUGCUUCGGUGUUCUUUGAUCAGCUUAAGCACUGCAGUAGAAUUGUUAGUCAGAAAUGUGUAUUUUAGUUGCUUUCGUAAGAGUGACCAAGAACCUAGCUAAAAAUAAAUAAAUUGAAUAGUCCAUGUUUCAAGCUGAAAAAUAGAUAAAGUAAGGGACUACAGGGCAGUCUCUGGGGAAAUCAUAAUACAAAUCAUUGCACUUAUCUUUUUUGCUGUUGUUUCUGAAGUGUUUAUUUUAAAAUCCCAGGGAGAUGUUGUCAUCUUCAGUUUGAAUCUUUGUUGUCAUACAUUCUACAUUUUAAGUUUAGAUGCCAUUUAGUUAGGAGAAUGUCUCUGAUAAAAGUUCCUAUAAAUUCUUGAAAGAAAGAACCUGAACAACAGAUGUUGUUACCCAUGUCCCAUUAUUUGCAGGGUGUCUUGAAAAAAGGAGCAAUUCCUUUUUGUUAUUUUUAUGUCAAAUUCAAACAUGGCAACAGCUAAACCAACUUCUUUUUCAUUUCAGAAAUGGGAUGUUUUUAGGCCGUGUUUGGAAUUUGGCAAUAGAAGUGGUGGUGCAGCUUCUCCAUCGUAAACGCUUCUCAUGUUCCUACACCUCUCUUGCCCCCUUCUUGUGAGUGCAAGAAUUCAUGUGGGUGUACGGUGAAACAGAAUUGAUAGACGGGCAAAACAGCAGCUGUGUUUCAACUGAAAGAUUCCCUGAUCUGGUUCACCUUGCAGCCAUGCAAACAGCUGCGCUGCCAACAGAAAAAAUGCACUUUGAACAGUGUCCUGAAAUUGCCACCACUCAAGUGGAGCAGAUGUCCAAAAAGAAUAUGCAAGAGAGAAAGGAGAGCUAGACAGCAGCUUACGCCGCAGAAGUGGCAGUGUGUGGCAUCGUGAUGGCAACAACAGAAAUGGUUUAAUAUUUUACUAGGCACAUUCUAAAUUGUUCUACUCGCGUUAGUUGCUUGUGUUAGCCUGAGGUGGCACUGAGCUGCAUUGGUGAUGGUGUCAGAACACAUGUGGAAUGGGAGAUAGACGUGCUGAAGGAGCUUGGUGGCUGCUGUUCCAACACAGCAGUCAGAGCAAUAGGUUUGUUGUCUGAAGCUAACCUGAGAACAAAAGCAAAAGGUCAGCAUGAGCAUUUUUCCCGUACCUACCCAGUAAUCUUGAAUCAUUCUCUGCAAGCAAGACCAAAACCCUGUAUGAUUGUCACUACUAUUAAGUAAUAUUUAUGUUUUCCAUCCUGAUGCUUUUUGCAAUUCUAUCACAUCUAUGUAAUUAGCUUCAGGUGAAUCUGACUAAUUGUGAUUUUAUAUUUUUUUUUCCUGGCUGAAAUUUGAAUGGAGUUGGUAACCCAUUACAUAGUUAUUCAGGGAAGUCUUUAAGCUAGAGAACUGAAUCCUGCACUCCAAAAACACCUCGACUGCACUCUGAGGUGCAGCUGGUGAAAUGUAUGUACCCUUAUUGCUGUGACAGUGGCUGGCAGUGCCCUCCAAGCCCUUUGUCCUGUCUGAAAGGAGACACGACUUGGGCUGCAGGCUGAGAACACUGUAGAUUUUUGAGCAGUAGUUACGAAACGAGAAGAAUCUCUCCUGUGCUGCUUUACUUACAAGUAGAUGCAUUCCUUGCUGUUAACCUAAGCUAUGGCUUCUAAUAUUAUAAUAACCUACGAUUUGUGACUGAGUGCUUAAUUAACAAAAUAAUCGUAGAGUUUUUUGAAUUAAAUAAAGUGAUGAACUAAUGAAGAAUUGGGACUUAAAGGAAAUAGGAAUGAAGACAUUAGUGCAGCUUGCUUUCAAAAGUAGGGUCAGACUUUUUUUUUCCUGCUAAGCUGAUAAAACAGGCAAAGGGACUUGUCUCGAGCUCCAUAACAUAUUUUAGAAGAGGAAACAAAGCAAUAACACUCAUUUUUAUAAUUCAAAUGUUAAAAAGUAAAUCGCUUCAGAACCCCCUGAGCAGGAGAGUUAUGGAGCUGCCAGGGCCAGUGUUGGAUAGGUGGAGGCACAUACGUGUGUUUCAGAGCACUGCUUCACCUGCAGCAUCCAAAGUCCUUAUCAAACACCUCCUGACACUGGGAUUACAGUUCACAGGAACUUCUGACCUAAAUAAGUUAUUUAUGCGUGGAGAUAAUUCCCGGAAUGCAUUCACUUAAGAUGUUUCGGUUUUGCUGUUUUGAAAGAGUCCUUGCCUCUUUCCCAGACCUAGAAUUCUGUCAGAUUUAGGCAUAAUGACAUUGUGCUCUUUCCGUAAGCAGUCAUUUGUAAAUAUAGGGUUAUUCCAAUGCCACUUGUAUUUUGGGAAGAAAUCUCUCUUCCUCAAUAAUCAAAACAGGGAAUUUCAAAAAAGAUUUUUUUAAACAUCUGUAAAAACAGUCAAUUUGGGUCAGACGUGAAUAUAUGCUUUAACUGCUCAAGGAAAUAUUCACCAACAUAGAAUAUAUUCAUACGGUUGUAUAAAUAAUUGUCCAUGGUAGAGCUUUACAUAAAACAACAGUCGGAAAUCCAGGGCUGCUUCCAGGAGCACCAGACUGAAUUGGCCCGGCUGAAACGGGUAAGCCAUACUAAAUCACCUGCAGAAUUAAACCGAACUAAACUCAGUCGUGAAGUUCUCUUCCAAAUGCAAAUGACUUAAACCAAACAAAGUACUGCCUUUUAUUUUAAAUGAUCAGGUGUGGAUUAAGCAUAGUCUAAUGUAAUCCACCCUAAAUAUCAGUCUGUAGUUGAUGGAUAGGUUUUUUUACCCGUUUUUCUGCAGUGCCAGCAUGCUGCUGCUGUGUUACUUCUGCCACAGCCUGACACAGCCCUGCUUUAUUUAGGAUACCCAACAACUGGCAAGUGUUGCUCUGAGCGGAAGCAGCCGUAUUGCGCGUUAGUAGCUGCCCAGUGUAUAAAGGAGGAUCCGCAGCAAAGACAUUGCCAAUAUUAGGGUUUUUUCUACUUUUUUGUUGGUGGGGUGGAUUCUUUAUAUAUGUAAAACACAGUACUGCAUGUGGGCCAUCACCUGUGGUAUUUCGGCUGUUCUGUUGUGUGCAUGUCGUGCUGUUGAACUGAGUGCAUGACUGAAAAAUCAUUUUUUUUCCUUUACCAAAGCUGAUGAAGUAGUACACUGUCAGUUCCAGCAGCUGUCGGUCAGAACACAGACUUGCCCCCUGAAAAUAAGAUGGACUUCUUUCUUUGUUUUCAUAGCUAUAUUGCUCUAGACUCUGUUUUUGAAAGCUGUGUGGGAACAGAAUGCCCUGUACUAGAAAGUAUUUAGCUAGUCUCUGCGGAAAUAGAAAGGUUCUGAUGGAUUUUUUGUUUGGUUUUGCAGCUUUGUCUAUUCUUUCUUAAGCAUCUAUACAUCAUUAUUUAGUUAUUCUUGGACUUAAACUGAACAGCAUAAGAAGAUCUUCCUACACAAAUGCCAUGUUGCCAAGUUGUGCUUACAGCUUGGUGCUCUACCAACCAAUAUUCAGUUGCAGUUCGUUUCCUUUUUGCAGACAGUGCGGGCACCCCAGCCAAGACGUGAUUCUGCUGUCACUGAGCAGCUCUCGGUGGUGGAGGCAGUCAAGGAGUGAUUACAGUCAAGGUUCCUGGCUGAGAUGUCCUUCCAAAAUGUUACACAGCUUUGAGAACGUGGUUUAAAAAUGGAAAAACAUCCAAAUGUUUCCUACUAUUUUCUUAUUAUUUAUUGUGGCUAAGAAAGCUUAGAUGUACAGGCCUACUUAAUUUAGUCGAUUAUUUUGUUAUUUCCCACUUUCUCUAUAAUAUUGUCUUACUCGUUUGUGCAUUACAAAGGCACAUUGGAGACUGAGCUGAGGAAAAAUGACGCCCAUUUUCUGACCUGUUUGCUAAUACGACAUUUACAUCACUGAUGUAACGAGCUAACCCAUUAUCGUGAGCUUCAGCUGUUUACAUCAGGUCUUAAUUUUAUCAUUUUCUUUUUUGUAACUCUGGCUGUGCCGAUUAAUUUAACGAUGUAAGGCAUGCCAGAUUACUUCCUUUGGAAGAGAGAACAUCUCUGCAUCCACUGUUAGCACAAAUCUCUGGAAGUGCCUUCUUCAAGGGAUAAUACACGUUCUCGCUGUAGUCGAGACGCUUUUGCUCCAUUUACUAUCUCUAUUAGUCCUGCCUGUUUGCUUGGCUUUAUACUUAGGGGUUAACAACAACAGAUGCUUAAUACUAGAGAACUAUAAUAUAACUGAUAAGACUGAUUGAUCUCUUUUCUAUCACAGCUUGUAUAUGCAGUUUAAAUUUGCCCGUGAAGAAGAUGGGGGAGGUAAAAGCUCCUAAUCACAAGCUAGACUGUUGCUGGCUAUGCUUCUGUCACUGAAAAAGAGAAUCUAAUUCUUUGCACAUUUUCAACGCAAAGGAUAGAGGCAACAGUUGCUUGAAACUUCUUUAAGGCUGGCAAUGAGAUUAUCCUUUUCCUAGGUGAGCUAAGUAGGUUAAGUAUCUUCAAAUACUCUUCAACUAUCUCUCUGGUAUCCUGAAAGCUAUUAGCACAUUGGAACAGUCUGCUUCUUUACAGGCUUAGGUCCAAAUGGCUGAAUGCUACACUGCAUUGCCUUGCUUAAUCACAUCAACUUGGCAAAAAUAGUGAGUCCUCAGCCAUUACUUUGGGUCUUGCCUAUCCCUAACUUUUUUCAUGUGCUACAGAGGAAGCUCAGGCCCUUUACGUAGAGAUCCAGCCAUCAUAAUGCCCAGCUAUAGACCAGUAUGUCACUUCCAGCAAACAGCAUAAGCAGCUCUUUGUCAGCUGAUCUUAGCUGUCAUUGUUACUCCUAAAAGGUAAAGAAGUCAUCCAAGACUCAGGCUUACAAACGCAUCCAUACACGCUUUGCAGAUAAAACUUACUUGUAGCAUUCACCCUUCAUUCCUAUCUGGGAAAAUAAGGUUGGCUCAUUUUUUCACUCAUCUGAAAGGGUCCGUAGUCCCCAGCAUCCUGCUCAAGAUUUCUGGGAAGUAAGUGUAAGUUACGGUGCUGCCACUGCUCAGUUUGAUAGAUUCUGCUGCAAGCCAGAUCAUAAGCAUAUUGGUGUACACAAAUUGCUCCAAAAUAUUUGCACUUUCAGAAGCGUUAAGAGUCCCAUAAAAAUUACCUAAUGCUAUUUAAUUUCACAAAGUUCUCAACUGGUGGUGUGGAAGAGAAUCCAGGUUAACUGUGAGUUGCAAAUAAUGGCUCUGAUGGAGGAGCAAGAUCCUGCCCAGCAGCAGCAGUGCACGCGGGCGGUGUAUGCUCAGUAAGGGGAGGUGCAGCACACCUGGAGCAGUGCGUUUGGGUAACGGAGCCAUUCUGUUGACAUGGAAGUUGUGCUCUCACACCUUUGUGCUAACCAUUUUUACAUUGAUUUUGUGCUCUUUUCUGGUGCGUCAUAAAGCCUCUUUUGUGUUUCUAACCACUCAUAAUUCCACAAAAUUUGAGUUUUAAGCUUAUAUGCCCCAAGACCCAAACAAAAUGAACUUUAGAUGGCUGGUUUUUCUUUGUUGUGUUUGUGAUGGUUUGUUGUUCUGUUGGUUUUAUUUUAAACUGGAAAACCAUACUCUAAAAUGUGGCACCCCACCCACCGACUGCAUACAACAGGAGGUUUGACAUGGAGAGGAGAGUUAACAUUCUUCCAAACCUCAGUGCAGAGCAUAUAUAAUUAUGCUAAAUCGUUGUCAGAAGCUAGUUUAAAAGGAAAUGUUGUCUGUUAUCUGAGAUUUCUCUGUACAUGUAUAUUUCAGGCAUGUCAGCUUCAUUAAAGUCUCUUGAAAUACAGCAUUAUUAAUCUCAAUAGAAUAAGCCACACUAGCCAACUCUAAAGCACUACAAGUAAGGCAGUGGCCUAUGUUCAGUCCACCUUCCCUCCAAUUUUGUAUGGAGCUUCAGCUGUCCUGUGUCUCCUUAUUUGAAUUUGUCAAAUUGAGCUGCCUGCUUUUAAACCUACACAGACAUUCCAGGGAUUAUUAAAAUUUCCAGGGUAUUAAAAUUUAUUCCGUAAACCGUUGAAUUUCUAGUAUUAGAUAGUGAGGCUUUGUUUGUAUUUUCCUUUAGAGAUAGUAGAGAUGCACAGGUUUAACGGAGAACAGAAAUGAACUCACAGGAAAUCCUGUUCAGGCUUUAUUUGCAUGUUUUCAAGCCUAAAGCUUCUCUGCCUGUCAGUUGAUACGGUUUAGUAUUGAAUUUAUUGUCAUUCCUUUCUCUUCUGAAAUGCUCCCUGAGUUAUUUUAACAAAUAUUGUAAUGAAUUAAUCUUUUUUUUUCCUUGCAGAGAAGAAAGAACACUGUGUUUAUGACAUUCUAAUCUUCACUAGAAAAAAUUUUACCAACUUUAAAUGUGCAUAGUCCCAUCUAACUGCAAGCCAGUCAGAGCCUACUCGCGAUUCAACUAUUUUUUCCAGGCUCCAGACAGAUACAAAAUAUGCCUUGCUCAAAUAAAUUACUUGAGCUGGUACAAGAAAUUUCGGGACCUAUGGCAUACAAGCCAGAUGAGACAAUCUGGCCUUAAACUAUUUGAAUAAAGGACAAAUAAGUUCAAGAAGAAUGUGAGCAGAGGCCAAGACAGUGAUGAUUUUGUGAAGCACAACAUUAGAAGAACAGAAGAAAAAAGAAAGCAGUUUACCAGUAAGAAGUUGCACUUCGGGUUUUGAUGGUGACCCUUCCCUAAGGGAUCGUGCUUCUCGGUGUUCUCACAUGACUCCCUAAGUCCAGUAUUUAAAGUAAAAUUAGGGUUCCUCUAGCUCCUCCUCUUCCUUCGGCCUGCGGAAAGGUUGAUCAUAAAGGCACCCACCUAAUUCCAGUUCUCCCAGGUGUGGGGUAAUCAGCUCAUUAUGCCGAUUACAGAAAAGUGUCAUGUAUGUGCUAUGAUUAAAAAUAUUUCUUUCUCUAUAUGAACAAAAGUGGUCAUUUAAUGCUUAUGUUAUUUCUGGUCAGAGGAAAGUGCGCUCCCUUCCUUCGGAUCAGGGAUGAAAUCAUUACAGAUAAUUAACUACUUUGCUUUACAUUUUAAGUCUACUUAAUAUAGUUAUUUUCCCUGGUGGCUAUCAGAAAGAGAAAAUCUAAACCAAAAAACUCAGGAUGAUAUUGUUCAGAAUAAAUUUGAAUUAGAAUUGCUA